GUGAUUCGAGAGGGGUUCGGGGUGGUUUGAGGAGGUUUGAGGUGAUUCGAGAGGGGUUCGGGGCUCCUCAGGGAGAGUCUGGGGGAACUUGAAGAGCGUUUGGGGAGAUUUGAGGAGAGUUCGAGGUGAUUUGAGGUGGGGUUUGGGGCUCCUUAGGGAGGGUUCGGGGGAGCUUGAGGAGGGUUUGGGUGAUUUGAGAAAGGUUUGGGGUGGUUUGAGGAGGGUUGGGGGCUCCUUGAGGAGGAUGUGGGGAAACUUGAAGAGGGUUCGGGGUGAUUUUAGGAACGUUUGAGGUGAUUUAAUGCGGGUUUGGAGACACUUGAAGAGGGUUUGGGGCUCCUUGAGGAGGGUUUGAGGCAACUACAACCACCUGAAGGAAGGUUUUAGUGAGGUGGGGACCGGUCUCUUCUACAGUAUCUGCAGUGACAAGAGGAAAUGGCCUCAAGCUGAGACAGGGGAGGUUCAGAUUAGAUAUUAGAAAAAAUCACAGAAUAUUCUGCACUGGAAGGGACCCACAAGGAUCAUCCAGUCCAACCCCUGUCCAUGCACAGGGCACCCCAACAAUCCCACCCUGUCCCUCACAGCGUUGUCCAAACCCUCCUGGAGCUCUGGCAGCCUUGGGGCUGUGCCCACUGCCCUGGGGAGCCUGGCCAGUGCCCAACCAGCCUCUGGGGGAAGAACCUUUCCCUAAAAUCCAACCUGACCCUGCCCUGACACAGCUCCAUGCUGUGGCAAGGCCAAAGACUGAGCGUGGGGUUUUUUUUUGUGACGAUGAAGUUUGGGAGAGGCCAAAAUCCUGGCUCCCCUCCAUCCAACUGGGCAGAAGAUGAAUCAGAAGCCCUGAAACCCAAACUGGGGCUCUGAGCUUGGACCGCUGCCUGCUCACAGAGACAGGACAUCCAUCCUCGGGGUCAUCAGCCCAGCACGUGGGGUUGGAUUGGGGUAUGGUGUGAUCCUCCCUCCUCUCCUGUUCACUCCCGCAGGCCUUUGACAAGCAAGGGUGGCAAUUCCUGGAAGAAAUGAGCCCCCUCGUUGUGACGGAGCAGAGACGAGUCCUCCCGGGCUGCUCUCGGCAGAGCUGGUUGGCAUUUUGGGAUCACCCGCUCCUGGUCAUGGGAGCUGUGCUGUGUGAGCCCCGUGCCCUCUCAGGGAAUGCCGGGCUGUGGUUGUGCACGCCAUAAAUCCAGCUGGCGAUGACAGGGACACUCCAAACCCUCCGCGUUAUUUUUGCCUCCGUAGCUCAGGCUCCGGGCGAUCCCGGGCUGUGGCUCCAGCGUUCCCGUCCCAUGAGAGGGCAGCACGAGCCCGCCGGUGUCGGAUACGGGUUUUUAGGUGCUGAAAUUGGGCAGCAUCAAUUCUGAAACUCCUUCGGAAGCGAUGUGUGUCUGCUUAAACCUUGCCCCGGAGCGUCCCCAUUCCAGCGACUAAUGUGUGAAACCAACCAGGAGUGGUUUUCCCUGCAGAUAAAAAGUGUGGUGAACAUCGAUCCUUCCUACAUUCCUGCAGGAGACUGUGGAAAUCCUUCAUCCUCAUGCUGAGCAGGGUCUGCUGCUCUCAUCAUGCUGCAGCAUGGCCAGGACUGAUUGCUCUGGAACAUCAAGGCUGAGUAAUACAGAACUUGCUUUUCCUGGGAUAAUCCAUAGAGAUGGAUGUUGGGCAAGGAAAAUGCAGAAGGAAGCCAGGAUCAUGUGAAUGUGUUGGACCAGGAGAAAAUAAGAAGUUUGUAUUCAGUGUUUAUCUGAAGUGAUUGCUAUUUAUGCACCUAACCUUGUGACAGAGCAAAAACACUGCCAGAAGAAUGUUAUUACCUGAAAAGCUGUUUAUUCCCCCAGAUUUUAGAGGCCCUAAAAGGAAGAUGUGGGGAUCCCUCUGUCCUAUGUGUGGGUGUCAGCAGCCAAACCAUCUGUGUCCCCUGUUCCCUCUGCUGGGACAGCAGGGAUUUCUGGGUCUAGGAACUUGGUCCUGAAAACUGCUGAGUAAACUCCAGUUAGUGUUUACUGGAAUCCACUGGAGGGGUGAUCCCUGAACCCAUUUUUUAGCUGUUGAAGGGCCCAAUCCUGGGAGCUUCAGGGCUCUUCAAUCCUCAGUAACUUUGAUUGGAGUUAAGGGUCACUCAGUACCUCCUGGGAGGAGGCCCUGAGUGGUCUCACCUUUUAAAGUUAAUGGUUUUGAGCGUGAGAAUCUGACCUGGGAGUUUUUAAUUUGACUUUGCUGGUUUUAGCUUCAGCUUGAAACUGUCUCAAAUAGUUUUUGUGCCCUCAGUACUGAAUGUUACUUUGUUAGAGCCUUCCCUGUUGUUGGUCUCACAGGUGCCAAGUCCAUCCCUUGCCUUAGGCAACUGUAGCCAAUGGGCUGAGAUCAGGGAUGACUUUGGCCAGGGAUAAUUGACAUAAUAAAUAAAAUCUGAAACAAAAAAAAUUAUAUAUAAAUCAAAAGUUUGAGUUUGGAAUAGCUUCUGAGAUUCUGAAAGUAAUUGAAGUAAUCCAGGAGAAAAUAUGCCAUGAAAUCUGUUUUCCAUUAUUGCAUGAGAUGGUAUGUCUUAAAAUUUGAUCAAACCCAUUUUUUUAUACGAUGAAGACAAUGCAGCUCAAAGGGAUGUGGAGAUCUGGGGUCAUUUUCAAUGUGGUGUUUGUAAAUUAUUGUAGACUUGACAUUCUUAUUCAUUUAUUUGAUAAGAUUUGCUUUUCCUAUUGUGAUCUCACAGCAAACAAUUUCUGACUGAGUGGUAUUUUUGAAAGAAGUGGUAGUGGAAGCUCAUUAUUGAUAUAUUUGUGCCUGCUAGUUUUCUUAUCCAGACCAAGCCUGUUGUAUAACAACACAGUGCAGUGGGAGAGACCUGAUGGCCUCUCUUGCCUUGCAUUUAAGAAGAAGUGAAGUCACUUCUGUGAUAGUCCCAUGUUCAUAUUCCCCCGUGGGUUUUGUAAUAUUCUCCGGCAAAACCAAGACUGAACAGGACAAGGACACUCCAUUCCUGUUGCUUUAAAGGAAUAUAUUUCCAGCUUGAGUGGCUUCUGAGCUCAAUAGCUGUGAGCAACAACACACAGAGUCCAGUGUGGGGAAUAACCACACACAUCAGUGAGCAAGAGGGGCCAGAGGAGUUUAUUGCCAGGGCUGUCAGCUUUCCCCUUUAGGAGCAGAUCUGCUCCCCUUGCUGCUUUUGCAUUCCUAUUCCCACACCAUCAGUCAAUCCCUGUGCCUCUGUAGUUUUUAUCCCCUUCAUAUCUUUCCUGAGGGAUGUCAUUACUCCCUCCUCAGAGGGAAUUUGCUUUGGAGGCUUCAUCCAUCCCCACAGGGAUCAAAUCAUAGGCUGACGUAUCUCACGAAGCCAUGAGUCAACCGGGGUCCAUCUCAGAUUGUGGAUGUAAUUUAGGGUCAAAAGGAAGCCUGUUUCUUGUUUUCUCCCUUGGUAAUACAGGGAAUUCACCCUCAGAGAAUUUAUGAACAUGUCAGUUGGUCAAAUAAGAGCGUUCUGGAUAUUUGCAGGAAUAAUUUACUACCUGGCAGGGCUCGUUUGUUUACAUCCUCCAUAGGGAUCCCGUGGGACAGACUUAAUCCUGGGCCUGGAUAUUUGAUUGAGGACAGCUCUUGGGGUAUCUGCUGGGAUGUUUGUAGUCCACAGACAGUCAGCUGUGGGAUGUUUUAAGGUAAAAUAAAUAUAUAUGAGCUUUUCCACCCCAUCAGUGAGGAUCUGUGUAACUCCCAAACUGCUCAGCUCAUGGCUCAGUGCAAACACUUCUGAUGUUGCUGAAAACAGGCCCCAGUCUGCUCAAAUUGAUUUUAAAGGCAACAGAAAACCCAAGAGGUCGUGCAAGUGCCUUGUUUGAUCAGAGCCAGCACAGGGGAAGGCACAGCACAAGGCUGGCAGGGAAAGAGGGGAAGCUGGAGGCUGAGAGUUGAUGGAUUCAUCGGGGCAUCCCUGUUGGAUACAGCAGGGCUGGAAGGUGGCAGUACCAGCUGAUGAGUUUUCACUGCAGCAGCUUGUACAGAUCUCUGCUGCACCCCCAGCACUCAGGUGGGCACGUGUGUGUGUGUGGAGCAGUGCAGGACCUGUGGGAGAAGGGCUGCUCUUCACUUUAGGCUUCUAAUGCAAGCACUUCAAACAGGUGCCUGGAGUUAAGGGGCUAAAUCAGGGUUUGUUUCUCUAAAUACCUCUUGUAAAAUGCAGUUAAAGACACUUCCUAUGAGUUCCAGUCUUAUCAAGCCCCAAGCAGCAUGUGAAGUGUUCAGUUUAUUCUUCACUGAGUGUGUCUUUUGCCCUCUGCAAAUUAAAAAUCUGGCAUUGGGUGGGUGUCACACCCAUGUCAUGAAGCCAGUGGCAAAGCUGGGCGUGGGGUGGCAGAGCAGAAGCACGUGGUGAUCUGGUCCCAGUUAUGUGACAUCUGGCUCUGCCUUCAGCCUUAAAACUGAGCUGCAAACACAGCAGCAAGUGUAGAUUGCUGGAAAGGUCUUCACAAAGUGCCACAAGUGAUCACUGCUCAGAAAAAUAACAUGUGAGGGACUCGGGGGUCAGCCUCUGGAGCAGGUACAAGUCAUGUGCUCUCUCAGAUGCUGCUGGAGAUCCACCAAGGAGGCUCCUCAGGGAGCUAUCAGGGCUCCCUCAACUCUUGGGUCUCUCCAGCAGCUUGUGCAGUUGAAUUAACAUUUACUGUUGGUGCAUUUCUCCCCACAAGUCUGAAAAAGGUUCUCCUAGACAACCAUUCCAACAGCAAGGACAACCAGAGUGAGUUUAUAAGGGUGGGAAUCAGCUCAGUAGCAGCACAGCAGAGAAGGAUGUGGAGGUUUUAGGGGACCACAGCUGAUUAUGAUUCAACAGUUGGUGCUUUGUUGAAAAAAAAAAAAAGGCUAUUUUUGUUCUGGCAAGUGUUAACAGGAAAGUCACGUGAGACACAGGGUGAUUAAUCCAUGCCACUCUGGGAGGCAUCAGUGCUCCCAGUUUGGAGCACCCAGGGAGAGCAGGACACACUGGAGACCACAGGAGACCCAGAGGAACAACUAAAACUCUGGACCUAUGGAGGAAGAUUAAAUAAAUCCAGAAAUAGAAGAGGAAGGGUAGGUUUUGCUGAGGACAGUCUUCCAGUGGUGGAAGGUAAGAAACUGAAUCUGUUCUCCUCUGACUCUGCUGUAGGGAGGAUGGGAAGGUGCUGAACUUCCAGCAAAACACACCUCAAGGAGGUUUUUCCAGGUUUUGUCUUAUUAGGCAGGGAGGCUUCCCAUGGGAAUAUUGGUGUGGUUUCUGUCAGUACCUCAGCAGAGCACCCGAAUAUGGUGUCCAUGUGCUGGGUGAUGCAUGUGGAGGGACUGGAUCAUCGCUUUGGGGGUGGAAACAUUGCUCCUCUGGGCUUGGAAUUCUUGGGAUUCAGUGACACUGAGGAGCAGGGAAUUUGAAAGGGUGGGAGAGGUGCAUCCACACACAGGGAGCAGGCUUGAAUGUCCAAAUCCACCUGCAGAUCUCCCACAGACUCCCUAAAUUUUCAUGUUUAGAAUAUAGAACUGGAACCAACUAUGCAGAAUAAACCAGAAUAACACCAAAACCUGACAAUUCCUAUGAAUGAGACCAUCACAGUUACAGUUACUGGGCAGAUGAUCUCAAGGGAAUUUUCCAAGGAUCUGAACCUUAUAUUUAAAAAACCCAAACAGCCCUAAAAAAUGAGGAAGGGGAGGGGAGAUAAGAUGAAAUCCACACCUCUUCCAGGAUGGGAUACUCAUGUUUCUGCACACUGUAGAAUAUAUUAAAUCUGUAAGGCUGAUCUGAGGAUAUCUGGGUGCAGUAAAUGCUGUAAAUGCCUGAAAUUCUCUGGAUUUGAUGGAGAACUACCCAUUUUGGAGGUCAGUGGGGGAAUAUUCUGCCCCAAGGAGGCCAAUUGAACUGAUGAUUUUGGUGAGCAGAGAGCCUGUAGCCACCUGAAUAUUUCCUUGGUCACCAACAGUCCAGUUUACCAAGAGCUGCUUUCUCAGAGGUGGUUUGUUGCUGAAAAAAAAAAUAAAUCAGAGAAAUCAAA